UUGAGGUGUAUGAGUUUUCUUUAUAUAUGUUUUGGAGGUGAAGCUCUACGGGCAGUGGUCCCUUUCUCCUCAGUGUUUCUGUAGAGCUGCUGUCCACAGUGUGGCAGCCACUGGCCAGAAGGAGCCAUUUCUGCUUAAUUGAGUUCAGUCAGUAGUUAGGUCUGCUUCUUGCAGUGAACAGAAUAAAGCAGCCAAUGGUUCACUCCCAGGGGCCACCACACAAGUGUGUCCAUGCAGCUGGAAUUUCAGGUGUGUCACCCUGGAGCUGAGGCCUCCAGAUGGACUCCUAGAAGGGAGAUGUGUAAGGCUCCAUCCCUCAGCAGCCCACGAUCUCUGAAGGUUUGCCACUGUGGCCAAUGUUUUAUUGAAGCUUCUGAGGCCGUAGAGCACAGGGAAGUUCUGAGCACACGGAGGACAAGCCAGGGUGGUGCUGUGUGGCCCAAAACAACCCGUAAGUAGGGGAUACGUGUGGGGGACAGGCUCUAACACCUCGACUCCUUAUGUCUGUGUCUCUGCAGUAUGUAUUAUGGAGAGUCUGAGUGACAGCAACCACGAUGAAAGUGAUACAGACUCAGUGGUGGAGAGCAUGAGCAGCCGCCAGGAUGAGGAGGCUGCAGACUCCACUGGGACACCUUGAAGCCUCAGCCUGGGACUGGAAGAGUCCAAAAGUUUCCAUCUUGACCAGGAAACAAGAUUGACCUCACUCGAUCUAUUAUGAGCCAACUUUAGUAUAAGCUUAGUUCUUUAUUGUCUAGAUUUAGUAUUAAGUUCUGACACAUGUUUACUACUUGGUAUAUAAGAUUUUGGUAGAAUGUAAGAUUGUGUAUUAAAUAAUCGUUACCUAUCCAUUUCCUUUUUUUAAACUAGUUUUCGAUAAAAUAAACACAGGUAUAGGAAAGCCCCCUUAAGCAGAGGUAGAACUUAAUGCACUGGAGUCAGGCAGUCACCCUUGUGUCCACCACCAGGAUCACCCCCUGUCCUGUCACCCGCAUCAGUCCUGACUGAAGAAGGGGACUGUGGAUUUAGUCCUGACCAACUGCCCUCAAGCCAGUUUCUUUCCAAGGAUUCUGUGGCCUCAUGUCGGUUUGUACCUUUGACCAUGGGAACUCUGUCACGCUCCCUCUUUCAGGAUGACAUGGUUGGCCGAGCCUUGCAUGCCCAGACCCUGGCUGCUGGAACAUCCAUAACUCACCAUUUCUCUCCUCAUGUCUCUAACAUGUUUCUUUACAUCCCGUGCCUGGAGUUGGUAUUUUUAAAACAUGUAGAGUGACACCGAAUGAGACACAGAUAAAAACUGUAAAAGUAAUUUUAAUAAAGUACACUUUGAUUGCAAA